rnacentral:rRNA from 1 species
AUGGGAUCUGGAGCAGGAGCCCUGCUGGCGCUUGUGGCAGCAUGUCUAGCGCUUGCCCCGCCCUGCGCUCUGGCUUCUUCUCGCAAGUUUGGUCUGGAUAUUGCGCAACCAAAAUUACUGAACUCCACAAAUGGUUCAUUUACUCCAAGCUCACAUGUUGAUUUUGACCCUUCAAAAUCAAAGCGACUCUCGUGGCAUCCAAGGGUCUUCUUGUAUGAAGGUUUUCUCUCUCACAUGGAGUGUGACCACUUAGUAUCUAUGGCACAUGGUAAGAUAGGGUCAUCUGUACAUGUUAAUGAUGGUGCUACAAAUAUUUCCCAGAACAAUAUUGAUGCAGGCCUCAUAUUUCGCCUGGCUGAUAGCAAAGACAUAGUUGUUUCGAAGAUUGAAGAUAGGAUAUCAUUAUGGAGUUUUAUUCCAAAAGAGCAUGGGGAGAGCAUGCAGAUUUUGAAGUAUGGAGCAAACCAAAGUGACCCUAACAAGGAAGAAACUCAAUCGAGCAGUGGUGCCAAUAGGCUUGUGACCAUUUUGAUGUAUCUUUCUGAUAUCAAGCAAGGUGGUGAAACUGUUUUCCCCAGAUCUGAGCUGAAGGAUACUCAAGCCAAGGAAGGGACACCUUCUGAAUGUGCUGGUUAUGCAGUGAAACCUGUCAAGGGCAACACAGUUCUGCUGUUCAAUUCAAGGCCUGACAGAGUCGCCGACAAGGACAGUCAGUACGAGUUCUGUCCUGUCGUCGAAGUGGAGAAAUGGCUUGCCAUAAAACAUAUGUAUGCAAGCAAGAUUGAUAAAUCAAAACCUUCGCCGGCAUCCGAGGAUGAUGAUUGCACCGAUGAAGAUGGUAACUGUGUCAGUUGGGCCGCUGCCGGCGAAUGCGACAAGAAUCCUGUGUUUAUGAUUGGCAGUUCAGACUACUAUGGCACUUGCAGGAAGAGCUGCCAUGCGUGCUAG